rnacentral:rRNA from 1 species
GCCUUCUGGGUUGUAAACUGCUUUUAUCUGGGAAGAAAACGCUCCUGCGGGAGUAACUGACGGUACCAGAUGAAUAAGCACCGGCUAACUCCGUGCCAGCAGCCGCGGUAAUACGGAGGGUGCAAGCGUUGUCCGGAUUUAUUGGGUUUAAAGGGUGCGUAGGCGGCCCGUUAAGUCAGCGGUGAAAUCCCAGGGCUCAACCCUGGAACUGCCGUUGAUACUGGCGGGCUUGAGUUCGGUCGAGGCGGGCGGAACUGGUGGUGUAGCGGUGAAAUGCUUAGAUACCACCAAGAACCCCGAUUGCGUAGGCAGCUCGCUGGGCCGAAACUGACGCUGAGGCACGAAAGCGUGGGGAGCGAACAGGAUUAGAUACCCUGGUAGUCCACGCCGUAAACGAUGAUGACUCGAUGCUGGCGAUAUACAGUCAGUGUCCAAGCGAAAGCGUUAAGUCAUCCACCUGGGGAGUACGCCCGCAAGGGUGAAACUCAAG